GACCCCAGGGACAGAGCCCUAGCCCCGGCCCCCAUAGGAAUCAGGUCAGGAAAUCAAUUUGCGGUGCCCAAAAAGAUCUGAAUUCUGUCAGUUGUUGUUUUGAUUCAGCAGACAUUCUUUCCAUAACUACAUAAUCUAAUAAAAUGUUUUUGUAAAGGUUUAUACAUAAAUUAUUUUUUGAUUUCCAAUUCAUGAGAAUAGUUUUCUUGGCGAUGCCUAUUGCAUUUAUAAGGAGGUAUGUUUUGUUUAUAUCAAAGUCAGUUGCAGAGAGAUCACCCAACAGGCAGAGUGCGGGGGAGAUGGGAAUAGGAAUCUCUAACGCUAAUGAUAGGUUCUCGCACACUCCAAGCCAAAAGUUACUCACGGGAGCACAGGACCACAUUGAGUGUAAGUAGUUAUCUACCUUAUUAUCUGAGCAGUGUACACAAAUGUUAGAGUCAGCUAAACCCAUUUUAUACAUUCUUAGACCGGUGUAAUGUAUUCUGUAAAGUAUUUUGAGCUGAAUCAGUCGUAAAUUCGGAUUCUUAAUCAAACGAGAAGUAUUGAGGCAUAUUUGUUUCCAGAAUUCUGGGUCAAGGCUUGUGGAUACGUCUGAGUGCCAUUUGGAAGUUGGGAUACUUAUUGUGUUAUCUAUUUUUGAUAAGAGAGCAUAUAAUUUGGAUAAAGCUUUGGGGGAAGAUGUUUUGAAGAAUUUAAUGGUCGUAGGAUUACUUUCCCAUGUUGUUUUGUUGAAUCUUGCGCUAAUUACAGAUUUGAUUUGUAUAUAUUCUAGGAAUUUAUUAGGAUUGAUUGCAUAUUGUGUUAUUAAACUUUUAAAAGAGAUAAAACUGUUUGCAUUGAUGAUAUCCCCAAGACAUCUGACUCCUUUAUCAUACCAUGUUGGAAAGUUCAAUGGCUUCUUGUUUAAAAGAAAAUCAGGAUUAUUCCAAAUAGGCGUAAAUUGACAGGGAGUGAGCGGGGAUCCAGUUAUUUUCAAAAACUCCCACCAAGCUGUUAAGGUAGUGCGUAUAUUAAUACUUUUGAAGCAGUUGUGUUUUCGGAGAAUUUGGCUAAUAAAGGGCAAGUUAGAAAUUGGGAUCUCCUGGCUAAGUGAUUGUUCAAUCUCUAACCAUAAACUAUCUAAUAAAGUGGGAUUGGUCCAUUUUAAUAUAUAUUGUAGUUUAUUUGCAAGGAAGUAAUAGGAAAAGUUUGGGAGUUCUAGACCCCCGUAUUCUUUGAGUUUUUUGUAAAGUUUUAAGGCUGAUUCGUGCUGGUUUACUCUUCCAAAGAAACUGAUUGAUGUGUGAGUCUAGUGAUUUAAACCAGAUUUGAGAAGGUUUGGUUGGAAUCAUUGAAAAGAGAUAAUUAACCCUAGGCAAGACCAUCAUUUUCACGGUAGAAACCCUUCCCAUAAGUGAGAUUGGCAGUGCUUUCCAACGCGCCAGAUCAUCCUCAAUCAAUUUUAAGAUUGGGGAGUAAUUCAAGCGAUUCAGAUCUGACAAUGUGGAGGAAAUAUUGAUUCCCAGGUAUUUAAUGUUCCCUUUAUGCAGUGGAAUCGAUGAGGUGCUCUGAAAGUCAAAAUUAAUUGGUAACACAGUAGAUUUGGACCAGUUGAUUGAGUAAUCUGAAAUAGAACUGAAUUUAUUGAUAAGUGAGAUUGUAUCUUGAAGAGAAGAAUGUGGAUUGUGUAAGAAAAGUAAUACAUCAUCAGCAUAAAGGCUUAUUUUAUGAUGAACGGUUGCGGUAUGGAUGCCUUUAAUAUUUGCAUGUAGUCGAAUUGCGGUUGCAAGAGGUUCAAUAAAUAUAGCAAACAGUGACGGAGAAAGUGGACACCCUUGCCUUGUGCCCCUCAUAAGAUUAAACCUUGGGGAGAUUUGGCAAUUCGUUCUAACCGAGGCUGUAGGGAAACUAUAUAGGACCUUGAUCCAUUCUAUAAAUGAGUCUCCAAAUCCAAAUUUCUGUAGAGUAGCUAAAAGAAAAUUCCAAUUCACUCUAUCAAAUGCUUUUUCAGCAUCUAAUGAAACAACAGCUGUUUUUAAAUUAUGAAUAACAGAAUAGUCUAUCACAUUGAGUAGACGGCGAACAUUGUUGGACGAUUGUCUCUCUUUGAUGAAACCUGUUUGAUCAGGAUGUACUAUAUAUGGAGUGACUUUUUCUAAUCUUUGAGCUAAUACUUUGCAGAUAAUUUUAAGAUCAGCAUUAAUCAGGGAGAUUGGCCGGUAACUGGAUGGAAGUGUUGGGUCUUUAUCAGGUUUUAGCAAGAGACUGAUUGUGGCAGAGUUCAUAUUUGGAGGAAGGAAUGAGUUUUCUUUAAUCUAUAAAGCCGUUUUCGUAAAUAUCGGAGCUAGCAGUGACCAGAAUGUUUUGUAGAACUCCACAGGGAACCCAUCAGGCCCUGGUGCUUUAUUGUUUGGCAUCUGUUGAAGAGCAUCGUGAAGUUCAUCUACAGAAAUAGCAAGAUCUAAAUUUGAUACCUGCCUUGUAUUUAAUUUAGGUAAGUCUAUACCAUUGAGAAAUGUCUCAAUGUCUGAAAGAGAUGGGUCGAUCUGGGGUGUAUACAAGUUUCUGUAAAAGUCUCUAAAUAUGGAGUUAAUUUCCUCAGGAACGUGAGUAAUGUUCCCAGCUGAAUCCUUAAUGGAUGGUAUGGAGUUUUUUUCUUUGUUUAAUUUUAGUUGGUUAGCCAAAUAUUUGCUUGGUUUAUUGUCAUGUUCAAAUUUUUCUAAGCGUAACCUCUGGAGCAGGAAUUGACUUUUCUUAUCAAUUAUUUCUCUUAAAUCUAAUUUGAGUUUUCUCAGUUCGUUCAGAGUAUGUUCAUUUUGUGAGUUCGCAUAAGCUAUUUCUAAUAUUUUUAUUUCAUUUUCAAGUUCCUGCUCUAGUAAACGUUCCUUUUUUUUCUUGUAUGAUGAAUAAGAAAUUAUUUUUCCUCGCAUAACUACUUUUGCGGCCUCCCAGAGAAUGCACGCCGUGAUUUCUGGUUGAUCAUUAAAAUCUAAAAAAUCUGUCCAUUCUUUCUCAAAAUAGUUGAGGAAGUCUGGGUCCUUUAGUAAUGAUGUAUUAAGUCUCCAUUGUUUUAUAGGUGCAGUGAUAGUUUUGUUAGUGAGGGAAAGUGAGACAGGUGCAUGGUCACUGAUGAUGAUAGGAUGAAUGUGAAUGUUUGAGAUAUCAGAUAAAAUUGAGCUACUAGUUAAAAAGUAAUCAAUGCGAGAGAAUGAGUGGUGAACUGGGGAAAAAUAAGUGUAUUCCCUAAGAGUGUGGUGAUAAGAACGCCAGGCAACGCAAAGACCAUAAUCCUUCAUAUAUUGCUUAAGUAUUACCACUGAUUGAGACUCACAGUGACUCCCAGUCACUCUGGACCGAUCUAUAUUUGGAUUAAAUACUAAGUUGAGGUCCCCUCCUAGAAUCAAGCAGUGGUUUGAGUGAGGAGAAAGUGAAGAGAAGAAAGUAUGAAAAAAGGAGGGGUCAUCAACAUUUGGACCAUAAAUGUUGGCGAUACAUAAGUUUCUCCCGUCAACAGAAAUAUUAAGAAUGAUGUAUCUUCCCUCUAUAUCAGUAAUGGAGUUAUGGAAUGUAAAGUUGACCUUUCUACUAAUGAGAAUGGCUACGCCUCUCUGUUUGGAGUUGUAACUAGCAAAGUAUGUGUGUGGGUAUUGCGAUGAAUGCAGUUUUGAGGUAUCGGACUUGGAGAGGUGAGUCUCUUGCAGUAAAGCAAUGUCUGCUUGCAUACUCUUCAAAUGAUUAAGAAUUGUUUUAUUUUUUUCCUUUGACCCGACUCCACGCACAUUCCAAGUGACAAACUGCACAGUGGACAUACUAAACUAGACUGUAACUAAGUGUGUGGAUGUAUGUGUGUACUUUAUGUGUAAAUAAUGCAUGUCUGUAUCUAAAUGUAAGCCUAUCAUGCAUAUAUGUAGGUGUGUAUAGUGUGUAUAGUUGUGCAUGUAUUAGCUGUGAGUGUAAAUGCUGAUGACGACAAGGGGACACACACAACAGGUGGAGAAAUAGAAAGAGAAAAGCAAAACAAAAAACAUAAAAGAAAAAGAAAAGAAGAGAGUGGUGGAUUAAACAGGUAGUGAAAUAAGUGACAUAAAAAGGAAAACAAAAACGGAAAACAGUAAACAUGUUGGUUUACCGAAAGAGAGAGAGAGAGCGUAUGGUGUUUACGUGUGCGCUAUGAUGACGCACAGUUGUAUUGUGAGCAAGAGGGGGGGAAAAAAAGAGAGGGAUUGAAGCAUAAUGAAAUAACAAAAACAAAAUACAACAUUUACCGUGUUUCAGACGCUAAUAAUACAGCCACGGCGUGGCUUCCGGAUCACGGUAAAGUUGGCCGUUGAUGAAAAGUUUAUCCACCGCGAUGACUGCACGGCAUCCUUCGGUGAUAAACUUCUUGCGAAGCGGAAACAGAUGGCGUCGCCGGUCGAGAAUUUCCUUUGGAAACUGGUCAUUGAUGCUGAAGUUGGUUCCUUUCAGCUCUCGGCCCUGGUUCCUCACUCGCUCCUUCUGCUUGAAGUGUUCGAAUUUGGCUAUGAUGGGUCUCGGCCUCCUGUUCUCCGGCUUUUUGGCUCCAAGCCGGUGGAUGCGAUGGAAGGUGAUGUUCCUGAUGGUGUCUGCUGGAAGCUUGAGCUGGUGUUCCAUGAAGGUCUUGAUGGUUUCCUCUGGAUCUUCCUCGGUCUUUUCCGGUAUCCCCGCGAAGACCAGAUUGUCCCUCAUGCUUCUCGCCUGGAGGUCCAGCAUCGUCUCCUUCAUGCUCCUGUUGUCCCGGGUGAGUUGCGUCACUCCGUCGGUGAGGGAUUUUACAGUCUCACGAAGAGCGGUGUUCUCCUUGGCGAGAGAAAUUACCUGCUGUUGUCCGAAUUCCAAACUUUCACGGAUGGCUUGGAAUUCCUUGUGGAGCACCUCGACCAGUGCAAGGCGGCCAUCCAAACAAGUCAGCCUCUUGUCGAUGGAAUCCAGGAUGUCGGUGAAGUUUGUACCGGGUGGUGACACAUGGCCAGCAUUCAUUCCUUUUGCCUGGAAAUCAUUUCCUCUCCGGCUGAGUGGAGGCGAAGUAAUACUCGAGGCCCGGCUGGCGUCCUCCCACGACUUUCACAAGCUUCCCUAAAAAGCCGAGCCUGAAAACUCCAACAGGAACACCUGCUGGGGUUCAAGAUGCUCCAUCACAGUCUGGUCUUCACGUGGGUCUUUCUGAAGCUGCACCACAAGAUGAAGAGUGCAGUGCACAACUGCGCACACAACAAGGAGACGAAGCAGACGAACGAGGAAGAUACAGCCAUGGCGACGCCGACGACGAG